UAUGAGUAGAGCGGCGGACGGGUGAGUAACGCGUAGGAAUCUACCUAGUAGAAGGGGAUAGCCCGAGGAAACUCGGAUUAAUACCGUAUACCUCCUUCGGGAGAAAGAAGGCCUCUCUUUGAAGCUUUCGCUACUAGAUGAGCCUGCGUAAGAUUAGCUUGUUGGUGAGGUAAAGGCUCACCAAGGCUACGAUCUUUAGCGGGUCUGAGAGGACGAUCCGCCACAUUGGGACUGAGACACGGCCCAGACUCCUACGGGAGGCAGCAGUGGGGAAUAUUGGACAAUGGGCGAAAGCCUGAUCCAGCCAUACCGCGUGUGUGAAGAAGGCCCUAGGGUUGUAAAGCACUUUAAGUUGGGAAGAAAAGUUAUUGGUUAAUACCCAAUGACCGUGACAUUACCAUCAGAAUAAGGACCGGCUAAUUCCGUGCCAGCAGCCGCGGUAAUACGGAAGGUCCAAGCGUUAAUCGGAAUUACUGGGCGUAAAGCGCGCGUAGGUGGUUUAUUAAGUUGGGUGUGAAAUCCCCGGGCUCAACCUGGGAACUGCAUCCAAAACUGAUUCACUAGAGUACGAUAGAGGGAGGUAGAAUUCACAGUGUAGCGGUGGAAUGCGUAGAUAUUGUGAAGAAUACCAAUGGCGAAGGCAGCCUCCUGGAUCUGUACUGACACUGAGGUGCGAAAGCGUGGGUAGCGAACAGGAUUAGAUACCCUGGUAGUCCACGCCGUAAACGAUGUCAACUAUCUGUUGGAAAGCAUUGCUUUUCAGUGGAGCAGCUAACGUAAUAAGUUGACCGCCUGGGGAGUACGGCCGCAAGGCUAAAACUCAAAUGAAUUGACGGGGACCCGCACAAGCGGUGGAGCAUGUGGUUUAAUUCGAUGCAACGCGAAAACCUUACCUAUGCUUGACAU
rnacentral:rRNA from 1 species